rnacentral:rRNA from 1 species
ACUCCUACGGGAGGCAGCAGUAGGGAAUAUUGGACAAUGGGCGAAAGCCUGAUCCAGCAAUGCCGCGUGAGUGAUGAAGGCCUUAGGGUUGUAAAGCUCUUUUACCCGGAUGGAUAAUGACAGUACCGGGAGAAUAAGCUCCGGCUAACUCCGUGCCAGCAGCCGCGGUAAUACGGAGGGAGCUAGCGUUGUUCGGAAUUACUGGGCGUAAAGCGCACGUAGGCGGCUAUUCAAGUCAGAGGUGAAAGCC